CCUACGGGUGGCUGCAGUGGGGAAUAUUGCACAAUGGGGGAAACCCUGAUGCAGCGACGCCGCGUGAGUGACGGGGUAUUUCGGUGUGUAGAGCUCUAUCAGCAGGGAAGAAGAAAGACGGUACCUGACUAAGAAGCCCCGGCUAACUACGUGCCAGCAGCCGCGGUAAUACGUAGGGGGCAAGCGUUAUCCGGAUUUACUGGGUGUAAAGGGAGCGUAGACGGCUGUGCAAGUCUGAAGUGAAAGCCCAGGGCUCAACCCUGGGACUGCUUUGGAAACUGUGGAGCUAGAGUGCUGGAGAGGUAAGUGGAAUUCCUAGUGUAGCGGUGAAAUGCGUAGAUAUUAGGAAGAACACCAGUGGCGAAGGCGGCUUUCUGGACUGAAACUGACGCUGAGGCACGAAAGCGUGGGGAGCGAACAGGAUUAGAUACCCUAGUAGUC
rnacentral:rRNA from 1 species